UACUUCAACUGCAUCUUCUUCACUUUACUUUUGGGUUUUGAUUUUCAGCUUAGCUAAUCUAUGAUUCUUUUCAUGAUGUAGGCUACGAUGAGAAUCGGCAGAAUUUGAUUCGGAGAAUCGAUUUCGUGUGGGCUAUGGAGAAGGACGAGAAUAAGAAGCAGAAGAAAAUCUUGAAAGGGAACGCCGCAACGCAGUGGCAAUGGCAGAGCAUGGUGAAGUACUUGCAGCGAAGGAACCGAUGAAAUUGGCGUUUGGGUUUCGAAUCGAAUCCAACUAUAGAGCAUGCACCAUCCCCUACAGAUUCCCCUCCAACAGUCUCCGCAAGCCCACGCCCAGUGAGCUCUCCUGGAUCGACCUUUUCUACAACUCCACCCCCUCAUUCAACAAACGAGCUCAAUCCGACGCUUCGGUUCCCGCUCCGGCCAGAGCUGAAAAAUUUGCUCAAAGGUUUUAUUAAUUAUUUGAGAGAAGUUUCUUAUGCGUCUCAGUUCUUAGCUUGCUGUGGGACAUGGGUGGGUUUGCUUGCUGCCAUUGGUGCACUGUCUGGAGCUUGAUUCAAUGGUUUGAAGUUAGAGAGACCAAGAACUGGGCACCCUCUACAAGCUACAGUACUACUCUUGCUGAGGUCUAUUUCAGUUCCUCUCUACUCUCUCAAUCUUCAUAACUUGCAUUUUUUAUGUCUAUCAAUCUGUCUAUCUUCACAUUCACAUUUAUAUAUUAGCAUCGACUUAAACCACUUACUACUUGAUUAUAAGGCUAUUUCCUUUAGCACUUAUUUGUGGUAAUGAUCCAUGUGGUUUCACCAAUGAACUCACAUCCGAUGGCAAGAGGACUCAAUAGAGCUCAAUACAUAACUCAAAAUCCAUUCUACAAACACAUCAUUUUUACCCUAUUGAACAUAAGGAUGUAAAUAGAUUUGGAUACAAAUGUAAGUAGAUUUUAAUGCAUUCCGCAUGUUAAACACGGUUUCAAAGCCUGCAGCAUUGCGCGGGCUGAAUUGGUAGUAUAUACUAAAACUCAGUUGGGUUUCAGCACUGUUCAUUAAUAGUGUCAGGACGGAUUUUCCCCUCCCCUUCUUCACAACUUUUAGCAUUCUUUUAGAUCUUGCAGUAAAUUGCCGAUUUUGCCCAUGGUAGACGCGUGUUGGUAAGGGAAGGAGGUUGAAUUUAUGCGUGUUAGUCAACUGGGAAAGGAAGAUAGGUGGAAAAGCAGAGCUCUUCCAUUUGCUUCCACAGAUUUCUCGAGCUCUCUCUCAAGCCCAGAACCCUAGCCUCCGCAAGCGAAUCAAGUACAAAGAAUGGUGUGGACUCUGAAGGAAGCUUGUUUUGUUUUGGAAGAUUUUAAAUUGUUUUAUGAUGCCAAGUUUGGUAGAAAGAAAACGCCGGAGCUGCAGUAUAACGGGUUGUCCACUGAUGGAGCUGUGAGUAAUGGGAGUAGUAAUUCCCGCGUGACAGCACAUGGGAAUAUGUGAAGAGAAAACUGACUUGGUCAUCUAUAAGCAAUUUCAAAACUAGGGGAUGAAUUCUAGGAUGGAGGUGGAAGGUUUUGGAUGAAUCAGAUGUGCCUAUUCAUUUGUGAGGUGAUUGUUUUACAGCUUAAAAUACCGUGCGAAUUUAUUUCACUAACAUUGCAUUGGUUUUUUAAUUUGAUAUGUUGUUUUGGUGUGAAAAUCGAAGAACUUUUAAAUGUUUGCGAAUUUGGUUGACACUUAAGUGCAAUUCAUUUUGGUCAAGGCUUUGGUUUGUGGCCAGUUGGAAUUCAUUUUGCUAAAAUAAGAUAAAUCUCUUUUUGCAGCCUGCACUUGCCUUUCAAUUAGAGAACUGUACGAGGAUAAAUCU